rnacentral:rRNA from 1 species
AUACGGAGGAUCCGAGCGUUAUCCGGAUUUAUUGGGUUUAAAGGGUGCGCAGGCGGCCAUUUAAGUCAGAGGUUAAAUCGUGGGGCUCAACCCCAUUCUGCCGUUGAUACUGGGUGGCUUGAUUGCGGUCGAGGUUGGCGGAAUUCGUUGUGUAGCGGUGAAAUGCAUAGAUAUGACGAAGAACACCGAUUGCGUAGGCAGCUGACCAGACCGCAAAUGACGCUCAUGCACGAAAGUGCGGGGAUCGAACAGGAUUAGAUACCCUGGUAGUCCGCACAGUAAACGAUGAAUACUUGUUUUCGGCGAUAUAAUGUCGGAGGCAAAGCGAAAGCGAUAAGUAUUCCACCUGGGGAGUACGCCGGCAACGGUGAAACUUAAAGGAAUUGACGGG